rnacentral:rRNA from 1 species
AAUGAACGCUGGCGGCGCGCUUAAUACAUGCAAGUCGAACGAGAAGGCCCGCAAGGGUGAGUAAAGUGGCGCACGGGUGAGUAACGCGUAAGUAAUCUACCCCUGAAUUUGGAAUAACCUAGCGAAAGCUGGGCUAAUACUGGAUAAGCUCCCGCGAGGGUGAUCUUGUGAGAGAAAAGUAUGCCACUAUUUAUAAGCAUACGUUUAGGGAUGAGCUUGCGUAACCAUUAGCUAGUUGGUGGGGUAAAGGCCUACCAAGGCAAUGAUGGUUAGCUGGUCUGAGAGGAUGGUCAGCCACACUGGAACUGAGACACGGUCCAGACUCCUACGGGAGGCAGCAGUAGGGAAUUUUGCGCAAUGGGGGAAACCCUGACGCAGCGACGCCGCGUGAGUGAUGAAGGCCUUCGGGUUGUAAAGCUCUGUCAGACGGGACGAAUGUCCUUUGGUCUAAUAGGCCGAAGGAGUGACGGUACCGUCGGAGGAAGCACCGGCUAACUCUGUGCCAGCAGCCGCGGUAA